rnacentral:rRNA from 1 species
AAAUACCGGAUGUGGUGGAGAGAUGGCAUCAUCAUUCCAUUAAAUGGUUUUUCGCUUUAGGAGCGGUUCAUGGCCUAUCAGGUAGUUGGUGGGGUAAUGGCCUACCAAGCCGACGACAGGUAGCGGGUCUGAGAGGAUGAUCCGCUCGAGUGGGACUGAGACACGGCCCACACACCUACGGGUGGCAGCAGUUGGGAAUCUUGCACAAUGGGGGAAACCCUGAUGCAGCGACGCCGCGUGGAGGAUGACGGAUCUAGGUCUGUAAACUCCUUUUUCAUGGAAAGACUUAGGACGGUACCAUGAGAAUAAGGACCGGCUAACUACGUGCCAGCAGCCGCGGUAAGACGUAGGGUCCAAGCGUUGUCCGGAUUUACUGGGCGUAAAGAGCGCGUAGGCGGUCUGUUAAGUGUGAAGUGAAAUCUCCAGGGCUCAACCCGGAAACUGCUUCGCAUACUGGCAGACUUGAGGAAUGCAGAGGUUUGUGGAAUUCCUGGUGUAACGGUGAAAUGUGUUGAUAUCAGGAGGAACACCCAUGGCGAAGGCAGCAAACUGGGCAUUAUCUGACGCUGAGGCGCGGAAGCGUGGGUAGCAAACAGGAUUAGAUACCCUGGUAGUCCACGCCCUAAACGAUGGAUACUAGGCGUAAGAGGUAUCGACCCCUCUUGUGCCGCAGCU